rnacentral:rRNA from 1 species
AUUGAACGCUGGCGGCAUGCCUUACACAUGCAAGUCGAACGGCAGCGGACCUUCGGGUGCCGGCGAGUGGCGAACGGGUGAGUAAUAUAUCGGAACGUACCUUUCAGUGGGGGAUAACGUAGCGAAAGUUACGCUAAUACCGCAUAUUCUGUGAGCAGGAAAGCAGGGGAUCGCAAGACCUUGCGCUGAUUGAGCGGCCGAUAUCAGAUUAGCUAGUUGGUGAGGUAAAGGCUCACCAAGGCGACGAUCUGUAACGGGUCUGAGAGGAUGAUCCGCCACACUGGAACUGAGACACGGUCCAGACUCCUACGGGAGGCGGCAGUGGGGGAAUUUUGGACAAUGGGCGCAAGCCUGAUCCAGCCAUGCCGCGUGAGUGAAGAAGGCCUCGGUUGUAAG